rnacentral:rRNA from 1 species
CUGGUGUUCUUCCGAAUAUCUACGAAUUUCACCUCUACACUCGGAAUUCCACUCACCUCUCCUGGAUUCAAGCGAUGCAGUCUAAAAGGCAGUUCUGGUGUUGAGCACCAGGCUUUCACCUCUUACUUACAAAGCCGCCUACGUGCGCUUUACGCCCAGUAAUUCCGAAUAACGCUAGCUCCCUCCGUAUUACCGCGGCUGCUGGCACGGAGUUAGCCGGAGCUUAUUCUCCCGGUACUGUCAUUAUCAUCCCGGGUAAAAGAGCUUUACAACCCUAAGGCCUUCAUCACUCACGCGGCAUUGCUGGAUCAGGCUUUCGCCCAUUGUCCAAUAUUCCCCACUGCUGCCUCCCGUAGGAGUCUGGGCCGUGUCUCAGUCCCAGUGUGGCUGAUCAUCCUCUCAGACCAGCUAAGGAUCGUCGCCUUGGUGCGCCUUUACCACACCAACUAGCUAAUCCUACGCGGGCUCAUCCCUAGGCGAUAAAUCUUUGGACUUACGUCAUCAUCCGGUAUUAGCAGUCGUUUC